GGUGCAAGCGUUGUUCGGAUUUACUGGGCGUAAAGGGCGCGUAGGCGGCAUGACAAGUCACUUGUGAAAUCUCCGGGCUUAACUCGGAACGGCCAAGUGAUACUGUCAAGCUAGAGUGCAGAAAGGGCAAUCGGAAUUCUUGGUGUAGCGGUGAAAUGCGUAGAUAUCAAGAGGAACACCUGAGGCGAAGGCGGGUUGCUAGGCUGACACUGACGCUGACAGCGCGAAAGCCAGGGGAGCAAACGGG
rnacentral:rRNA from 1 species